CAUGUCCUUUUGAUUAUGAUUUAAGGUCGGAUCUGCUCAAUGAGUAGUUAAAUUGCCGCGGUAUUUUGACCGUGCAAAGGUAGCAUAAUAAUUAGCUUUUUUAUUGAAGGCUGGAAUGAAUGAUUGGACGAGAGAAUUACUGUCUCUUAUUAAUUUAUUUUUUAAUUUUACUUUUAAGUUAAAAGGCUUAAAUAUUUUUCAAAGACGAGAAGACCCUAUAGAUUUUUAUAAGAUUUAUAUUAAUUAAGUUUUGGAAUUUUUUUUUCUUUAAUUUUCUUCUUAUUUGGUUGGGGUGACCUAAAGAUUUAAUAAACUCUUUAUUAUUAAUCAAUGAUUAUUGCUUUUACAAUCUAGAUUUUCUAAAUUUAAAAUAAAUUACCUUAGGGAUAACAGCGUUAUUUCUUUUUAGAGUUCUUAUUGAAAGAGAAGUUUGCGACCUCGAUGUUGGAUUAAAAUUUAUUUUAGGUGUAGAAGCUUAAAAAUUGGGUCUGUUCGACCUUUAAAAUUUUACAUGAUCUGAGU
rnacentral:rRNA from 1 species